GAUGAACGCUGGCGGCGUGCCUAAUACAUGCAAGUCGUACGGAAAGGCCCUUCGGGGUACUCGAGUGGCGGACGGCUGAGUAACGCGUGGGAACGUGCCCCAAAGUGAGGGAUAACGCACCGAAAGGUGUGCUAAUACCGCAUAUGGUCUUCGGAUUAAAGCUUCGGCGCUUUGGGAGCGGCCCGCGUACGAUUAGAUAGUUGGUGAGGUAAUGGCUCACCAAGUCGACGAUCGUUAGCUGGUCUGAGAGGAUGAUCAGCCAGACUGGGACUGAGACACGGCCCAGACUCCUACGGGAGGCAGCAGUAAGGAAUCUUCCACAAUGGGGGCAACCCUGAUGGAGCAACGCCGCGUGCAGGAUGAAGGUUUUCGGAUCGUAAACUGCUUUUGUUAGUGACGAAUCUGACGGUAGCUAACGAAUAAGGACCGGCUAACUACGUGCCAGCCGCCGCUGUAA
rnacentral:rRNA from 1 species